UCAAAAACAUGUCCUUUUGUUAAUAAUUUAAGGUCUGACCUGCCCAAUGAAUAUUUAAAUGGCCGCAGUAUUUUGACUGUGCAAAGGUAGCAUAAUCAUUAGUUUUUUAAUUGUAAGCUGGAAUGAAUGGUUUGAUGAGAAAAUAACUGUCUCGAUUUAAUUGUUUUAGAAUUUUAAUUUUAAGUGAAAAAGCUUAAAUUUUUAAGGAAGACGAGAAGACCCUAUAGAGUUUAAUAAUUUUAUAUUAUGAUUGGUUUUAGAUUUAUUUAAAAUUUUAAUAUAUGAUUAUUUUAUUGGGGUGAUAUUAAAAUUUAAUAAACUUUUAAUUUAUUUAAACAUUUUUUUGUGAUUAUUUGAUCCUAAUUUUUAGAUUAUAAGAUAAAAUUACCUUAGGGAUAACAGCGUAAUUUUUUUUGAGAGUUCUUAUCGAAAAAAAAGUUUGCGACCUCGAUGU
rnacentral:rRNA from 1 species